UCAAACACAUGCCUUUCUGACAGUGUGUAAGACUAUAUAUUAAAAUAUCAGAUAAGUUAAGUACAUGGAAAUCCUUAAACUAGGGUCUCUUGCAUUGUAAUUGGUUGUCACAAGAUUAACGUCGCGACCAAUUCAUAUACCUACAUGUGUAGGACUACUCCCCCGCAUAGAAAUCUGAGCCGGCUCGUUUUUCUUGGUACGUAGUCGAUAUCACGUUCUGCCAUCUUAAUGUAAGUGAGAUCAGAUUAGAGAUUGUAAUGCACCAAGUUGAAUGUAGGGACCAUGAAAUCUAUUUGUUCAGCAUCAGCGUGGGUUGGUUUGAGUUGGCACCGACGACGUUCUUCAUCAAAGGCUAAAAUUUUGUAUGGACCAACAAACUUUGCUCUGAAUUUCCCUCUCUUUUGCAUCGUUUCUCCUUGUGCUAAGCUACCAAAUUGCCAAUCACAAACUUGCGCACGUAGCGGAAGCGCUUGUCAUGGCCUUCAAUCUGCAUCAAUUGCGCUUUGGCAAUGUUGUCAUGAGCGUAUGUGUUGAGGUAUGUUCGAUGUGCCUACAUAGAGCCCAUAUAUUGAUUGAGAUAGGCGGACUACUCGACAAGCGUUGUGUAACCCGAGGGCAUGACUGGAAGCCUGGGCUCGAACGGCAAUAUAUUGGUACGCUAGUGCCGUACGCAAAGGUGAUGGCGAGCAGCAUCGUGUGUCAGUGGGCAUCGUACACUCUAUUUUUCUCGAUCAGUGCACACAGUGUUAGGUUGAACUGUUCUGUGAGGCUGUUGCACUACGGAUGAUAGGGUGAAGUUGUGGUGUGUUUGGUGCGUAGGUGGAUCGCCAACACAUCCAUAAGAGCAUUGCAAAAUUCACUCCCAUUAUCCGUGAGGAUUUCGGGAGACUAUGAGGUGAUUGGGAUGGAUGUAAAGAUUCGUAGGUUGAUUCCUUUGCUGUAAUCCCGUUUGACUUGACAUAUGUCACAGCCUUUGAUGAAUCUGGUAACGUCAGCUAACAUGCAUCAAUGAUACGCUUCUUUCAAACGGUUCAGUGUUUGUUUGACGGCAAAGUGGUCGGAGGUGAAAGAUGUGUAAAAGAGUUCCAAAAUUUGCGGUAGGUCUGCUCUCUUUGGUACUUGAAGGAUGCAAGUUCCAUCCUAAAUGUUUUUCUUUUAAAAGAGGGCACCAUCUCAAGGCACCAUCUCAAGUGAGGUACUAAGGAAGUUGGUGUCUUACUCUUUUCGCUAGUAUUUUGUCUAGUCCAGAGUUGAUAAAACCAUUCUGGCAAGCAUUAACCAAUCCGUCAUAUAUCGCUGCCUCCAUAAUGCUUGCUCACGUUGAUUAGGAGCAAUCUGUUUAUUUGUGGGGAGGGCAAGGAGUGAUCUCCGUCCUUUGUUCCCUAUCAGAUUGUCACAACAGUGGAAUGCACCAUGAUUUAGUCGAUACUGGUGUGAGAGAGCAGAGACCACUAUAACAGAAGAUACUCUCACCAUUUGUGUUAGUUGAUAUUAGAGAGGAUAAUAACAGAAACAGAGUGACAAUGAACAAGGAACAAGAAGACGAAACCAAAAAAAUAAAAAGUUACAAUGAGAACAAUUGUGCAUGUAUUGUCUCAUGAUCGUAUUCCAUAGGCAACAGAAAUGGAAUAAAAAUGACAAUGAAAAGGGAACAACAAGGUGAAAUCUAAAAAAAUAAAAAAAAUAACGUUGAAAACAAACUAUGCAGAUACUCUGUGACCGCACUCUGUAGGCACCUAGAUAGUCGUUGUUGUCACCAGUUGUUGUUUACUGGUGGAAAGAUCCUGUAGCAGUCAAAUGCCGUUGGUAGUAACUGAUGCAUGUGGAAUGAGUGUGUGCAAAUCA